UCCCUAUGGGGUGCAGCAGUCGCGAAAAUUUUGCAAUACACGAAAGUGUGACAGAGCUAUCCCGAGUGCCAUCCGCUGAGGAAGGCUUUUACCCAGUAUAAAUAGCUGGGAGAAUAAGGAGAGGGCAAGUCUGGUGUCAGCCGCCGCGGUAAUACCAGCUCUCCGAGUAGUGUGGACGUUUAUUGGGCCUAAAGCAUCCGUAGCUUGCUAGAUAAGUCUCCUGUUAAAUCCACCGAUUCAAUCGUUGGAUUGCGGGGGAUACUGUUUGGCUAGGGGACGGGAGAGGUCGACGGUAUUUCCGGGGUAGGGGUGAAAUCCUAUAAUCCCGGGAAGACCACCAGUGGCGAAGGCUGUCGACUAGAACGCGCCCGACGGUGAGGGAUGAAAGCUGGGGGAGCGAACCGGAUUAGAUACCCGGGUAGUCCCAGCUGUAAACGAUGCAGGCUAGGUGUUUGGGCGGCCACGAGCCGCCCUAGUGCCGCAGGGAAGCUGUUAAGCCUGCCGCCUGGGGAGUACGGCCGCAAGGCUGAAACUUAAAGGAAUUGGCGGGGGAGCACCACAAGGGGUGAAGCUUGCGGUUUAAUUGGAUUCAACGCCGGAA
rnacentral:rRNA from 1 species